GCCGAGGUGGCGAAAUUGGUAGACGCACUUGCUUUAGGAGCAAGCGGAGCAAUCCUUGGGAGUUCGAUUCUCCCCCUCGGCA
rnacentral:tRNA from 3 species